rnacentral:lncRNA from 1 species
CUAUCUGUUCCUCUGGCCCAGUCCGCUCUCUACGCCUCCUCCCCAUCCCUGAGCCUGGGGGCGAAUUGGAAGUGGAGAUAAAUAUGGGUGUUUGUUUUCCCCCCCAGCAGGAAUACAGGGGUCGACCCUCGAAUUAAAGUUGACCUGCUCCUAAUCUGGGGCUUGGCCUUUUUCCCCCGCCUCCAGCUACUUGAACAAGAAUUGGGGAGAGGGGCUGUGAGGGACCCGGGAGUGCCCGGGAGGCAAGGAAGCUGGGCGCCUCUCCGAGCGGUCCCAGGCAGCAGUGGAGAGCCACAGCCUCUUGGACUGCUGGAUAUGGAACUCGAGGCCCUGAGAACGACCCUGAGUUCCUGGCUACAGCUUAGUCGUACCAGGUCCCCCUUAAUGGGGCCAGGACCAGAAUGCCCUGAUUCUUCUUCAGGGACUCCACUAAUUUAAGGUUCGCGCCGAAAAGCCACUUUUUUCCUCAAAUCCAGAGCUGGACAAUUUGAUGAUACAAGCAAUACAAGUACUAAGGUUUCAUCUUUUGGAGUUAGAAAAGGUAAGCAGGAA